GGCUUGAUGGCAGAGUGGUUAUGCAUCCAUGAAUUAGUAGCAAAGAUCCAGACAUUUUCGUGGAGGACGCCCGUUCGAACCGGGCUCGAGCCA